GAUGAACGCUGGCGGCGUGCCUAAUACAUGCAAGUCGAGCGAACAGACGAGGAGCUUGCUCCUCUGACGUUAGCGGCGGACGGGUGAGUAACACGUGGAUAACCUACCUAUAAGACUGGGAUAACUUCGGGAAACCGGAGCUAAUACCGGAUAAUAUAUUGAACCGCAUGGUUCAAUAGUGAAAGACGGUUUUGCUGUCACUUAUAGAUGGAUCCGCGCCGCAUUAGCUAGUUGGUAAGGUAACGGCUUACCAAGGCAACGAUGCGUAGCCGACCUGAGAGGGUGAUCGGCCACACGAGAACGGAGACACGGUCCAGACUCCUACGGGAGGCAGCAGAAGGGAAUCGUCCGCAAUGGGCGAAAGCCUGACGGAGCAACGCCGCGUGAGUGAUGAAGGUCUUCGGAGCGUAAAACUCUGUUAUUAGGGAAGAACAAAUGUGUAAGUAACUAUGCACGUCUUGACGGUACCUAAUCAGAAAGCCACGGCUAACUACGUG
rnacentral:rRNA from 1 species